AAGAAACUAAGAAUUUAUUGCGUAAAAUAAAAAUCAAAUGACAGAAUCCAUGUAUUUAGAAAAUUAGUUCAUGCUUGGAAAUAGAAACAUCCAAGAUACAAUAUAACCUAAAGAAACAAAGAAACUCAUGAUAACUUCCUAAGAAAUCAACUGGGAAUCUUCAAUCUUGACAUAAAUCUACUUCAAAGUCGGCUUCAAUGGUGUUUAUCGAGUUGUUUUCUUGAACAUUCUUUGGCGGCUCUCUCUUAUUUUCUUAUUUUUGUCAUAUAUACAUCUUAGAAUGCCUGAAGAACUUAAAAAUCGAGAUCUUUCAUUGUUCGGUGCGUAAUUCCAUGAAAUCGACAUGGCAUACCAUAUGCCCAUGUGGGUAACAUGGCUGUGUGGUCUAGCUGUAUGGAAUUGUUCAGCCAAUAUGGCUCUUGUAGCUUGCUUCGAUGCUUCGAUUAUCGCUCCUUUUGCUCCACAAGUGCUCUAUUAAGCAAUAAAACAUGAAUUUAAAGGAUUAGGAUUAUAAAAUUCACAAUUAACAUUAAAUAAUCACCUAAAAACGCAUUAAGAAUAAGGUUAAAACAUGCUACUUUUAGCACUUAUCAAAUAUCCCUAUAUAUGUUUAAGAAUUUGCUUGUCUUUAAGCAAAAUUCUCAACCCACAUUCAAGUUAACUUCCCUUAAUUCAGUGUUUUCAUUGUUAAUGUCUUAAGAUAAUCUACAUAUAAUCAUGCAUUCGAAAUUCAAACUAAAAUGACACUAAAGAAUACAAGUAAUCUAAGUAAAAAAUUUAAAGGCAUAAAACAUAGGAAUCUUCCCUAUCUAAACAAUUACUUGAAAUUCAAACUAAACAAGAACUGACACCCUCAUUAAGGUUCACUUAAAGCACUCAAAGUGUUUAAGGUUCAAGUAAUAUGCACUCAACGGUCAAAUUAGAAAUGUUAUUACCAUAGGCUUGCUUGAAAAUUAAAUCUCCACCACUAUAAACCGAGAUGAUAUACCAAUCAAGAUGUUUUUACAAGGUUAUAACAGGGCUAAGGUUAAGGGUACAGAAAAGGUCAGAAGAGUUGGUUACAAUCGAGAAUCGAGUUGAUAAGUUACCAAACCAAAAAAAAAUCAGUUGUUAAAUUAAAAUAAUUUACAUCAACAAGAAAUAAAGAUUGAAUAUGAGCUUUUUAUACAAACGAUUCAAGCUCAAUCAUUUAUUUUUCUUUUCUUUCCAUUUUUUUUCAGAAUAAAGUAAAAUUCAACAAUACAAAUGAUAAAACAUAGCCAGGCAACUAACCAAAUCAAAUCUCGAUAAAAAGGGAGUCAAUAAUUUCUUUUUACAAAAUUAAUAUGGUUCACGGGUUAACAUGAACAGAUGAUAAGUAAAAAAAUGUCUUAGGAUCAACGAGGUUUACUAGGGGUUAAUUCAACAGGUAAACUAUUUAAAGGUUAAGCGGGUUAAAUCAUAAGUGCCUAUAUCAUCUCAGUAUAUCAAAUUAAUAUUGUGGUCUCGGCAUGUAUAACAAAAGCAAGUUCUAGAAAAAAAAUCAAGUUGACAUUCUCGCAACCAAAAAUAAAAUAAGCACAAAAAAUAUAUAUGCUUUAUAGGCUCAAAAGCUCACCAAAAAUUAUGGUUUUGAUGUCAAACUUGUAGAUUUAAAAUUUCAAGAUAAUGUUUCAAUUCGGGGAGACAACCUAAAAUAAUCAUUUCUAAAAAAAUGGCUUAUCAUGAUUGACUCGUUCGUGUCUUAAAGUAUAAAUCACACAAUGCAUAAAAAUAUACAAAUUAAUCCCAAACAGACAUCACCCAUGGAGCCCUCAAGUUUUGCAACCUUGUCUUCCAAAACUGACAGCAUAUCCCUCAAGCUGCUAGCUUUCUUGCCUUACCACGGGUCUCUAUAGGCUCAACCUGCUCAUUUACUAUUUUCUCAUCUCAAUUGGCGCCUUUGAAACCUUAGCUCGAAUACCAAUUCUUACAAGGCAAGAACUUAAGUCUAGCAAACAGCACGGCCUUAGACAAUUUCUUUGCUUCAAAUCCACCUAAGUCAACAUAACUUUCAAAAGAUGAGAAUUCUUAUGACAUUCUCUAAGGCACCGAAAUAUAGUGGAAGCAACUCAAACCGAAAGAGCAAUGAAAGAACAAAAAUGACACAAGAAAGCAAUGCACACAAGGUGUUUGAG
rnacentral:lncRNA from 1 species